rnacentral:rRNA from 1 species
UUGGCGGACGGGUGAGUAACACGUGAGCAACCUGCCUUCGAGAGGGGAAUAACGGCUGGAAACGGUCGCUAAUACCGCAUAACAUACAGGAGGGACAUCCCUUUUGUAUCAAAGAUUUAUCGCUCGAAGAUGGGCUCGCGUCCGAUUAGGUAGUUGGUGAGGUAACGGCCCACCAAGCCGACGAUCGGUAGCCGGACUGAGAGGUUGAACGGCCACAUUGGGACUGAGACACGGCCCAGACUCCUACGGAAGGCAGCAG